rnacentral:rRNA from 1 species
UACAGAGGUGGCAAGCGUUGUUCGGAAUUACUGGGCGUAAAGGGCGCGUAGGCGGCCAUCUAAGUCAGACGUGAAAUCCCCCCGGCUUAACCUGGGAACUGCGUCUGAUACUGGAAGGCUUGAGUAUGGGAGAGGGAUGUAGAAUUCCAGGUGUAGCGGUGAAAUGCGUAGAUAUCAGGAGGAACACCAAUGGCGAAGGCAGCUCGCUGGGACGUGACUGACGCUGGAGACGCGAAAGCGUGGGGAGCAAACAGG